GUCUUUUAAUUGAAGACUUGUAUGAAUGAUUUGAUGAAAUAUAUACUGUUUCUUUAUUAAUGUUAGAAUUUAAUUUUUUAGUCAAAAAGCUAAAAUUUUUUUAAAAGACGAGAAGACCCUAUAGAGUUUAAUUUUUUUUAUUUUAUAGGUAUUUUAUAAAAUUUAUAAUUUAUAAAAUAUAAAAAAUUUUGUUGGGGUGAUGGAAAAAUUUAAUUAACUUUUUUUAAAGAUUUAACAUAGAUUUAUGAUUUUAUGAUCCAUAAUUUAUGAUUAUAAGAUUAAAUUACCUUAGGGAUAACAGCGUAAUUUUUUUUUUUAGUUCAAAUAAAAAUUAAAGUUUGCGACCUCGAUGUUGGAUUAAG
rnacentral:rRNA from 1 species